AUUGAACGCUGGCGGCAGGCCUAACACAUGCAAGUCGAACGAGUGGCGGACGGGUGAGUAAUGUCUGGGAAACUGCCUGAUGGAGGGGGAUAACUACUGGAAACGGUAGCUAAUACCGCAUACCAUCGGAUGUGCCCAGAUGGGAUUAGCUAGUAGGUGGGGUAAAGGCUCACCUAGGCGACGAUCACUAGCUGGUCUGAGAGGAUGACCAGCCACACUGGAACGGAGACACGGUCCAGACUCCGACGGGAGGCAGCAGUGGGGAAUAUUGCACAAUGGGCGCAAGCCUGAUGCAGCCAUGCCGCGUGUAUGAAGAAGGCCGUCGGGUUGUAAAGUACUUUCAGCGGGGAGGCGUUACCCGCAGAAGAAGCACCGGCUAACUCCGUGCCAGCAGCCGCGGUAAUUC
rnacentral:rRNA from 1 species